UGUUCGAGCGUCAUUACAACCCUCAAGCACUGCUUGGUAUUGGAUGUCACCAUUGUGGUGCAUCUUAAAAGUAUUGGCAGUAGCAUUCAGCUUCUAGUGUAGUCAAUUUCUCGCUUUGGAGUUAAAUGUUCUAACUGCUAGAACCCCCAAAUUUUCAAAAGGUUGACCUCGGAUCAGGUAGGGAUACCCGCUGAACUUAA
rnacentral:misc_RNA from 1 species